rnacentral:rRNA from 1 species
ACGCAACGAGGUAGGCCAGCCCAUUAUUGGAUUUGGGUUCGAUCCAUCUAGGUGUUGAGAUUGGUAGGUAAAUCCGCCAGUUGAGCUGAGGUGGGAGCGGGCCGUAAGGCGAAGUGGCUGAGCCUUGUUGCCAAGAAAAGUCUCUAAGCAUAACUCUCUAGUGCUCGUACCGCAAACCGACACUGGUAGACGGGUAGAAUAUACCAAGGCGAACGGGAGAACCCUCGUUAAGGAAUUAGGCAACAUGACCCCGUAACUUCGGGAGAAGGGGUACCCUCCUUAGUGUUAAAGCUUCGGAGGGUCGCAGUGAAAUGGCUCUGGUGACUGGUUAACAAAACCACAGGUCUCUGCUAAGCCGUAAGGCGAUGUAUAGGGGCUGACGCGUGCCCAGUGCCGGAAGGUUAAAGGGAGAGGUUAGCGCAAGCGAAGCUUUGAACUGAAGCCCCGGUGAACGGCGGCCGUAACUAUAACGGUCCUA